GGAGGCGGCCAAACAGCCAAGAGACCCCAGAUGCAGUCAUGGCGCCGACUGCCGCAGCGUCCGCGCAGGCGCAGCCGACUUGGCGGGUUCUUAGAAACAGACCAAUUGUGGGGACUACUAUGAGUCUUGAAUUUAGGAGGAUUCUGCAGAUGUUUCCCUUGUCUCCUGGAAUUCAAGGAUCUUGAUCGAAAGGAAUGUGAAUCCACACACAGCCAGAUAGCAGGCCCACAAGCAUGGUGAACGUCCCUAAAAUCCACCGG